GACGAACCGAGCGAACGUUAUUCGGAAUCACUGGGCUUAAAGGGCGCGUAGGCGGGCUCGCAAGUCAGGGGUGAAAGCCCCCAGCUCAACUGGGGAAGUGCCUCUGAUACUGCGGGCCUCGAGGGAGGUAGGGGCGUGCGGAACUUCCGGUGGAGCGGUGAAAUGCGUAGAUAUCGGAAGGAACGUCGGUGGCGAAAGCGGCGCGCUGGACCUCUUCUGACGCUGAGGCGCGAAAGCCAGGGGAGCAAACGGG
rnacentral:rRNA from 1 species